GAUGAACGCUGGCGGCGUGCCUAAUACAUGCAAGUCGAGCGAACUUUUGGGAGCUUGCUCCCCAAAGUUAGCGGCGGACGGGUGAGUAACACGUGGGUAACCUGCCUGUAAGACUGGGAUAACUUCGGGAAACCGGAGCUAAUACCGGAUAACAUUGAACCCCACAUGGCCUUCAAUUAAAAGUUGGCCUUUAGCUACCACUUACAGAUGGUCCCGCGGCGCAUUAGCUAGUUGGUGAGGUAACGGCUCACCAAGGCGACGAUGCGUAGCCGACCUGAGAGGGUGAUCGGCCACACUGGGACUGAGACACGGCGCAGACUCCUAAGGGAGGCAGCAGUAGGGAAACUUCCGCAAUGGGCGAAAGGCUGACGGAGCAAAGCCGCGUGAGCGAAGAAGGCCUUCGGGUCGUAAAGGUCUGUUGUUAGGGAAGAAAAAGUAUCGUUCGAAUAGGGCGGUACCUUGACGGUACCUAAACAGAAAGCCACGGCUAACUACGUG
rnacentral:rRNA from 1 species